rnacentral:rRNA from 1 species
GGGGGAGAUGGAAUUAGUGGUGUAGGGGUAAAAAUCCGUAGAUAUCACUAGGAAUACCGAAAGCGAAGGCGAUCUCCUGGAACAAUACUGACGCUAAGGCGUGAAAGCGUGGGGAGCAAACGGGAUUAGAUACCCCGGUAGUCCACGCCCUAAACGAUGUUCACUAGUCGUCGGAAUGCUAGUCAUUUCGGUGAUGCACUUAACAGAUUAAGUGUACCGCCUGGGGAGUACGGUCGCAAGAUUAAAACUCAAAGGAAUAGACGGGGACCCGCACAAGUGGUGGAGCAUGUGGUUUAAUUCGAAGAUACGCGAAGAACCUUACCUAGCCUUGACAUUGAUUGAAUACCCUAGAGAUAGAGUAGUGCCCUUCGGGGAACAUGAAAACAGGUGCUGCACGGCUGUCGUCAGCUCGUGUCGUGAGAUGUUGGGUUAAGUCCCGCAACGAGCGCAACCCUCGUCCUUAGUUGCCAGCAGGUUAAGCUGGGCACUCUAAGGAGACUGCCUUCGCAAGGAGGAGGAAGGUGAGGACGACGUCAAGUCAUCAUGGCCCUUAUGGCUAGGGCUACACACGUGCUACAAUGGGGCGUACAGAGAGUUGCGAUACCGCGAGGUGGAGCCAAUCUCACAAAGCGUCUCUCAGUUCGGAUUGAAGUCUGCAACUCGACUUCAUGAAGCUGGAAUCACUAGUAAUCGUAGAUCAGCAAUGCUACGGUGAAUACGUUCCCGGGUCUUGUACUCACCGCCCGUCACACCAUGGGAGUUGAUUUCACCCGAAAUUGGGA